GUGGGGAAUCUUGCGCAAUGGGCGAAAGCCUGACGCAGCCAUGCCGCGUGAAUGAUGAAGGUCUUAGGAUUGUAAAAUUCUUUCACCGGGGACGAUAAUGACGGUACCCGGAGAAGAAGCCCCGGCUAACUUCGUGCCAGCAGCCGCGGUAAUACGAAGGGGGCUAGCGUUGCUCGGAAUUACUGGGCGUAAAGGGCGCGUAGGCGGACAGUUUAGUCAGAGGUGAAAGCCCAGGGCUCAACCUUGGAAUUGCCUUUGAUACUGGCUGUCUUGAGUACGGGAGAGGUGAGUGGAACUCCGAGUGUAGAGGUGAAAUUCGUAGAUAUUCGGAAGAACACCAGUGGCGAAGGCGACUCACUGGCCCGUUACUGACGCUGAGGCGCGAAAGCGUGGGGAGCAAACAGGAUUAGAUACUGGUAGUCC
rnacentral:rRNA from 1 species